rnacentral:rRNA from 1 species
UACGAAGGGGGCUAGCGUUGCUCGGAAUCACUGGGCGUAAGGGUGCGUAGGCGGGUCUUUAAGUCAGGGGUGAAAUCCUGGAGCUCAACUCCAGAACUGCCUUUGAUACUGAAGAUCUUGAGUUCGGGAGAGGUGAGUGGAACUGCGAGUGUAGAGGUGAAAUUCGUAGAUAUUCGCAAGAACACCAGUGGCGAAGGCGGAGC